rnacentral:rRNA from 1 species
CACUGCUAUCGGGGUUCGAUUAAGCCAUGCGAGUCGAGAGGGUUCAGACCCUCGGCGCACUGCUCAGUAACACGUGGAUAACCUACCCUGAGGAGGGGGAUAACCCCGGGAAACUGGGGAUAAUACCUCAUAGGUUUCAGAUGCUGGAAUGCUCUGAAACCGAAAUGCUCCGGCGCCUCAGGAUGGAUCUGCGGCCGAUUAGGUUGUUGUUGGGGUAACGGCCCAACAAGCCCGUCAUCGGUACGGGUUGUGAGAGCAAGAGCCCGGAGAUGGAUUCUGAGACACCAAUCCAGGCCCUACGGGGCGCAGCAGGCGCGAAACCUUUACAAUGCGAGCAAUCGUGAUAAGGGAACCCCGAGUGCCUGAAACCAGGCUGUUCAGGUGUUUAAAAAGCACCUGGAGAAAGGGCCGGGCAAGACCGGUGCCAGCCGCCGCGGUAAUACCGGCGGCUCGAGUGGUGGCCGCUAUUAUUGGGCUUAAAGCGUUCGUAGCUGGGUUGUUAAGUCUC